rnacentral:rRNA from 1 species
CUCAGUAACACGUGGAUAAUCUGCCCUGAGGUGGGGGAUAACCUCUGCGAAAGUGAGAAUAAUACCCCAUAGGUGGGGAUGUGCUGGAACGCCGUCCCGCUGAAACGAGCUUAUCGCCUCAGGAUGAGUCUGCGGCCUAUCAGGUUGUAGUGGGGGUAAUGUCCCUACUAGCCUUCGACGGGUACGGGCCUUGGGAGAGGUAGCCCGGAGAUGGAUUCUGAGACAUGAAUCCAGGCCCUACGGGGCGCAGCAGGCGCGAAAACUUCACAAUGCGGGAAACCGCGAUGAGGGUAUUCCAAGUGCGUGCGCAAUGCGUACGCUUUUCUCCAGUCUAGAUAGCUUGAGGAAUAAGGGCUGGGUAAGACCGGUGCCAGCCGCCGCGGUAACACCGGCAGCCCAAGUGGUGAUCACUUUUAUUGGGCCUAAAGCGUCCGUAGCCUGCUCGGUAAGUCCUUGGGUAAAUCAUCCAGCUUAACUGUAUGAAUUCCAGGGAUACUGCCGGGCUUGGGACUGGGAGAGGCUAGAGGUACUCACGGGGUAGGGGUAAAAUCCAGUAAUCCUGUGGGGACCACCAGUGGCGAAGGCGUCUAGCUAGAACGGCUCCGACGGUAAGGGACGAAGCCCAGGGGCACAAACCGGAUUAGAUACCCGGGUAGUCCUGGGUGUAAACGCUGCGGGCUUGGUGUUGGAGGUCCUGCUAGGGCGUUCAGUGCCGUAGAGAAGUUGUUAAGCCCGCCGCCUGGGGAGUACGGUCGCAAGGCUGAAACUUAAAGGAAUUGGGGGGGGAACACUGCAACGGGUGGAGCGUGCGGUUUAAUUGGAUUCAACGCCGGG